CUGUGCCUAGGGAAAGCAAAAACCCAUCUAUGCAUUCACACACUUGACAGAUGAAUGGAAAAGUGUAUAGGAGAUCCGAAGCAGCAAUAGAAGUAGCCCAGUUCAAUACAAUGGCACAUAAAAAAAGAUUUGCAAGUUUUGGAGGAGGUCAAAAGUGAAUCAUCAAAUCAUUCAUGCACGGAUGAUAAAGAUGAGCAUGACUUUGACAUUGGCUAUGUGAGCCAAAGUUCCUGUGGCAGCGAAAUGGAAAAGACUGAUAUAGACACAAGGGAUGCAGACCUCCUUAAUUCAGAUGAUGAAGAAAACAGCACUGUGAAUACAUAUUUGACUAGUAAAAAUGGUCACACAACCAAAUGGAAUGAUCUAAUGUUAGAACUAGGUCCAAAAAUUUAGUAAGGAGCUAUCCAGGGGUGAAACCUAAUGGACAGAAUGCCAGUACUGCCAUUUAAUGUGGAAAUUCUUUGUAAGAGAUGAAAUGCUAAAGAUGUUAUAAAAUUCACAAAUACAGAAAUAUAAAUAUAAUGUUCUGUACUCAGCAACAGCCAUGUGCAAAAAUGUAUUUAUUAUGACACUACACUAGCUGACCUAAAAGGACUCGUAGGUCUGCUGUACUUAGCAGGGCUUUCUCAUGGUAAUCUCAGGAAUGUAAAAUACUUAUAAAAAGGCAAUGAGUGUGGGCUUGUGGUUUGAGGAGAUUUGGUUUCUUUCAAAAUUGCCUGUGGUUUGAUGACAAAAUCACCCUCUAAGAAAGAAAAAGACCUCAUAGUUUGGCUACUAUCCACUCAUGGUUCGAGAGAUUUGUUAGUAAUUGUUAGGCAAUUUACACACCAUCUGAAUACAUGACUAUUGAUAAACAUCUUGCAGUAUUUCAUGCUUGCUAUAGCUUUAGGCAGUAUAUUUUGAAAAACAUUCAAACUAUGACAUAAAAAAUGCUGUGGGUGUGACAAUUGAAAUAAAGAUGAUUUUGUUGCAGAA